rnacentral:misc_RNA from 1 species
GAUGAAGAACGCAGCGAAAUGCGAUAAGUAAUGUGAAUUGCAGAAUUCAGUGAAUCAUCGAAUCUUUGAACGCACAUUGCGCCCGCCAGUAUUCUGGCGGGCAUGCCUGUUCGAGCGUCAAUUCAACCAUCAAGCCCCGGGCUUGUGUUGGGGACCUGCGGCUGCCGCAGGCCCUGAAAAGCAGUGGCGGGCUCGCUGUCACACCGAGCGUAGUAGCAUACAUCUCGCUCUGGGCGUGCUGCGGGUUCCGGCCGUUAAACCACCUUUUAACCCAAGGUUGACCUCGGAUCAGGUAGGAAGACCCGCUGAACUUAAGCAUAUCAAUAAGCGGAGGA